rnacentral:rRNA from 1 species
AGCUAACCUCGCAAGAGGAGGCAGCGACCUAAGGUAGGGUCAGCGAUUGGGGUGAAGUCGUAACAAGGUAGCCGUAGGAGAACCUGCGGCUGGAUCACCUCCUUUCUA